AGUGGCGGACGGGUGAGUAACACGUAAGAAUUUGCCUUUAGGAGGGGGACAACAACUAGAAAUGGUUGCUAAUACCCCAUAUGCUUUCGAGUGAAAUGGAUUUUUCCGCCUAGAGAGAAGCUUGCGGCUGAUUAGCUUGUUGGUGAGGUAAUGGCUCACCAAGGCGACGAUCAGUAUCUGGUUUGAGAGGACGAUCAGACACACUGGAACUGAGACACGGUCCAGACUCCUACGGGAGGCAGCAGUGGGGAAUUUUCCGCAAUGGGCGAAAGCCUGACGGAGCAAUACCGCGUGAGGGAUGACGGCCUAUGGGUUGUAAACCUCUUUUUUCAGGGAGGAAUCAAUGACGUGUACCUGAAGAAUAAGCAUCGGCUAACUCCGUGCCAGCAGCCGCGGUAAGACGGGGGAUGCAAGUGUUAUCCGGAAUCACUGGGCGUAAAGCGUCUGUAGGUGGUCCAAUAAGUCAACUGUUAAAUCUUGAGGCUCAACCUCAAAAUCGCAGUCGAAACUAUUAGACUAGAGUAUAGUAGGGGUAAAGGGAAUUUCCAGUGGAGCGGUGAAAUGCGUAGAGAUUGGAAAGAACACCGAUGGCGAAGGCACUUUACUGGGCUAUUACUAACACUCAGAGACGAAAGCUAGGGUAGCAAAUGGGAUUAGAUACCCCAGUAGUCCUAGCCGUAAACAAUGGAUACUAGAUGUU
rnacentral:rRNA from 1 species